GCAAAACGACUCUAGCAAAAACAAAGUUUUAUUUUCUCCUUUUCAAGACUACUUCUUAAUUUCAUGUGUGCGGUGUAGAUACAUGAUGCCAAUGCGUGUGUCUAUUCUCGACUUCAUAAGCGUUUUCAUUUUUAACGCUUGGCACAUUUGUGGUGCUUCUGAGCUCACAUACCAUUCCAAAAGAAUACCCUCAAGACUUUAUGAAGAAGCUUGCCCAACAAUAUCAAAAUAAAUAUAUUUUGUGUGAUCUUUAUAUGCUUUAUAUAAUUUAGGAUGAAAGGGGUAACGGAUAUAAACAUCUGAAUAUGUAUACAAUUAAUGAAUAAUGGCAAUAGAGUAUUCAGCGUACACUGUGUGAAUAAACAUAGAGUUAUAAGUGGAGACUUCCUUUUCAAGUUGGUUUUGUAGUCUCGUGUGUGUCUCUCUGUGUUUAUUCACACAGUGUACGUCUCAUAUUUAGAUGUUUAUAGCCGUUUGUCCCUUUCGUACUAACUGUAUUUAAGAAAUAUAUGAGCAUAGAGGAUACACAAAGUCAAUUUAUUUAUUUUUUUGGGGCAAGCUGAAAUACUCAAGUUUGAAGGAAGGGUAUGUGAGGUCAGAAGCAACACAAAAGUGCCAAACGUCUCAAGGGCUAAAAAUUAAAAGCACGCAAUUACACGCAUUGCCAUCAUUUAUAUAUGUACAUAUGUGUCACCGCAC
rnacentral:lncRNA from 1 species